CUCACAAUUGUGCAUAAUGAUGUUAACAUUCCUGCAUGUCUAAUGCAGGGGAUAUUGAGACAGACACUAGCUGGUCUGCAGUCUCGCUGCACAUUGUGUGUGUUCACGGGUAUAAACGGUAGCAGGGCAUAAUGAUGUAUUAACUGUGGCUUGCUCUCGCUCUCAGUGUUUGGGCUCCUUGCUGAGGUUACUACAAGACUAUGUUAAUCUUAUGCAAGAUCACGCUGCGCUUUAUUUUCUAGUCUGCUGCGUUAAAUUUUAGGUGCGCUGCUAAAGAAACAUCCGUGUUUGCUUUGGUUUUUGCACAGAAUUGCAACCAAUAGACCGUUUAUUGCUUUUUGCUUUCUUAAACGCUUAUUCAUUUUGGAGUGAUUAACCAGAUUUGCAAAGCUAUUUAAAUAUUGCAUGUAAACGAAAGAAUAGCAGUGGGUGUAGCAUUCCAAGGUUUUAGCAGAUAACAGCUAAAUUAAAAAAAAAAAAAAAAAAGCCAAGUUGAAACAAAUUAAAACAUCAUCAUCCUUCAUCAUAUUUAUUCACAAAGAAUAUCUUAGAGGGUGUGGCCAAUUUGAAAUGCAAGCAACAUCAAGUGUGGCACAUAUUUUUCAAGUUCCUUCCAAAUAAAAUCUGCACGAAUAUGGAUAUGAAAAUGGAGCGGCUAGAUCAUAAAAGAUGGAAACAAAGAAGGACAGACAGCAUAUACUGGCAAGGACAGGCAAAAGAUGAAGCUCAUUUUUCCAUGGGCACCCAGUGGCGUCUGCAUUGCAGAUCGCUAAAAUCCCCCUCGAAUGCGUCCCUGGGCUUAAGGAGGGUGGAGUGGGGAAGGGUGAACAAGGGCUGGGUUUAUGCUAUCCCUGCUUUGGUACACUUUGUUUUUUUUGUUUUUUUCCUUCCCCCACCAAAAUAUAUUUUUUUCUGUCUGCAUCAAAUGUCAAGUUAAUUUCCUGGGCGCUAUGAGGGAUGUGUCCUCCCCUUCGGUAUGUGUGGCAGGGUGGUGGAUUGUGUCAGGGUGCUUUGCGUGCCGGUGUGUUUAUGUGUGCGUGUCUCUGUGUGUGUGUGCGUAUUUGUGUCUAUAUGGGUGAAUGGGGAAAGGAAAAGGGGCAUGGCAAGGCAAAGAGAGAGAUGAGAGGUGGUGGUGGGGGGUUCAGUACAGUAUGUAUAAAUUGGUUCUCUCUGAAGAGCUAGAGAGGUUUGAUGGACCAGAAGUCCAUCAUGAUCCACAAACAUCUGGAAUAAUGACCGGAGUCUCGGACUAAGGACAUGGAAUACAUUCUGCUGAUCUCAGAGGUAAAUAAGUUAUCCUGAUUAAGAAGAACGGAGCCAAACUUUCAGCAAUACAGAGUCUUACAACAGCCUGAAAAUAGUACUUACUGUGCCUUUGUUCUGAUGGGUAUCAUAUUUUCUUUUCUUUUUUUUAAUGGAAAAACACUUCUUAAAAUAAGAUGAAAAUAUUCUACACAUUAAAACAUGUAUUUAUUUCAUGUCAGUGAUUGAAUUUAACAAGUAUAUUUUCUGACAGCUAAAUAAAGACUUUUUCCCCCAUAA
ensembl:lncRNA